CUCGUACAAUAAACAUAACAUACCUUCAAAUUAAAAAAAAAAGAAAGAGAAAAAGUAAAAAAGUAAAAUAUAGCAUGGCUAAGUUUGCUUCCAUCAUCACCUUCCUCUUCGUUGUUCUUAUUAUCUUUUCUGCUUUCGAAGCACCAACAAUUGUGGAAGGGCAGAAGUCAUGCAAGAGGCAGCCAAAUUCAGGGAGAAAAUAUUGUAUGAAGGAUGGUGAUUGCCGGAAGAUUUGCGUCGAAACCGAGAAAGCAUUACGUGCUAGUUGCGAUUAUACAUUCCCAAGGCGCGUGUGUUUCUGCCACUUUCCAUGUUAAUCAACAGAGCCGUUCCAAGACAUUUUUAUGCCCUAUGCCAAAUAAAUUUUACUAGAUAACUUCCUGCAAUAUCGCGGAAUAAAGUUCAUUUCAAUAUUAUUAUAAUAAGUUUUACAUAUAAUUGAAAUUUAUAACAAUUUCGAUUAAUUAAUUUUUUGAUAAAAUCAAUGAAUCUUUUUGAUAGGUUAAUAAUGUAAGAAUAACAUUAAUUUUAUUACAAUAUAUUAACCAUUUUAACA